rnacentral:rRNA from 1 species
AACAACCGUGAUUCCGGGAGUAGUGGCGAGCGAAACUGGAUGAGGCCAAACCGUAUGCGUGUGAUACCCGGCAGGGGUUGCGCAUACGGGGUUGUGGGAGUUCUCUUGAUCAAUCUGCCGAUUGGUCGGCAAGUCAGAAACCGUUGGUGUAGGCGAAGGACAUGCGAAAGGUCCGGCGUAGAGGGUAAGACCCCCGUAGCUGAAACAUCAACGGCUUGCUUGAGAACCACCCAAGUAGCACGGGGCCCGAGAAAUCCCGUGUGAAUCUGGCGGGACCACCCGCUAAGCCUAAAUAUUCCCUGGUGACCGAUAGCGGAUAGUACCGU